AGAAACCACAUUUGCAAAGCCUCCUUUCAGCAGUGUGGGACUGAGUAUAUACUAGAUUCCUAAGUACUUUUUGAAUUUUCACUUGGAGAAGUAGGUUACUGCUAGAUGUCUCCCCAGGCAGGACAACACCUCUGGCAAGGAGACAGCUUGUUAAAGACUGUAAGGACCAAGUUGGAGAUGCACAAGAAGCAGUAUUAUUCAUUUACGCUUCUCAGAAACAAAUUUAAUCUCAAGUAGAAUGUAUCCAAACAUUCUAGUAGCAUUUUCAUUAAUGCAUUUGUGUUGAGGUAAAGCAGUAAUUGCAAAACCCAACAUCGUGUUGUUCAGACUUCUAUUUCUUGAGCUGAUAAUUUCUUUGCUCCUCUUAGUUAUUUGUGUCCAGUGUUCAUUGUUCUCUCUUAUUCCUGAGGAAAUAGCAUAAUGAUUAUAAAGUGCUCUCCGUAGGCAUUAUCUUUGUUGUCAUUUUGCUUCAUGAUUGCUCCUGCCAUGAUGAGUGAGCACCUUCCCAAGCAGUACCUGCUAAGAAACAACUGUUUUUGAAGAUUGCUAUGUGACAUCCUCAAGAACAUUUGAGCUGAAGAAAAGCUGUCAUUUUAUCUGAAAGGACAAAUUCAAGCAAAAAGAAAACACCACUGGAGAAGAGAUGCAAAGAGCCACGAUUCAAGUCUGUAAUCCAACCCUGUUGCCCUUUCCAGCUCCUGAGAUAUGAAGUUUUCAUAUACGUUUGUUCUAUAUGAUACCUCCAAAAAAAUUAAGGAGUGCCAGCUCCAAGGGAGAUGAGGGAGUCCUGUGGGUGAUCAUGUUGACAGAAGGACUAACAGACCUGGCAGAGGUGAAAGCAGUGGUGAGAGGAAUUAGCACGCAAUGA
rnacentral:lncRNA from 1 species